AUCCGGCUGACGCGUCCCCAAUAAGACGAAACGUGCGUCCUAGAU
rnacentral:hammerhead_ribozyme from 1 species